CUGAGUAGGUUGACUUUACGCGCAUAACAUUAUUUCAAUAUAAUAGAUUUUUUUAAACAAUUUAUAGUAAACUCAUGUUUAAAAAAAAAAAGUUCCUUCAGAAAAUGUUUCGGGGAAGCUCAGCUUCAUUCAGAGGGAAGGGAAUGCGACUUACGUGCGGGACAGGGAGCUGGCCAAGGAGGUUCCAACCGAGACAAAGUUCGAACUGUUCGAUCCAAGGAACACUUUACGCACCGCCAAAUUCAACUAUACCUGGGACUUUGGCAACGGGGAGGUGCUGUAUGUGCACCAUAACUACUUGUCCCCUGGAAACUACACUCUGCGGCUGAGAGUGGGGGCCCAAGUGAACAAAAACUCUAUUCCACUAACUGGGGUUUACACCAGUGUUGGACCCCAUCAGAAAUAUUGAGUUGAAAGGCCCUUUGAGUUUCGAGGUUUCCAGAAACAACAGUCUGGCUAAUCAUGUGGAUGGAAGUAGGCAUGUAGGCAUGUUGGAGGUUCCAACAGAACUGUGUAUCAGCAACCCCUACAGGCUGUCACCUGGCCAUGCUGUAUGAUAACACAUUCAGACUGAACCACACCUUCACGGCUUUAGGAGUGGCUUUAGGAGAGUCUUGACAUCAGUGCCCGCAAUGACAUCAGCAAACUACAGACCUCCUACAGCAUCUUCGUGAGGAGAGAUCGAAAGUCAGGUGUUAUCAUGUGGUCUGUGGAAAUACGGUCCAGUUUAGUCAUGCUAGGCUGAAGCUACAGUACAGUACACACUCUCUCCUCUCACUAUGAAUACAGUAUAGACUAGUUUGAUAUAGUACAAAUGAUCCAACUAUUAGUAUAGUGUCGCUCAGCAGUUCUGGUGGCAGAAGGGGUUUUGAUCCGAAUGUACCACUUUAGAUUUCAUGGUUCUCCUUGUUAUCUUAAAGGUAUACUAUGGGGUUUUGGCAAUGAGGCCCUCUAUCCACUUCCCCGGAGUCAGAUGAACUUGUAGAUAUACUUUUUAUGUCUCUGCAUGCAGUUUGAAGGAAGUUGCUAACUAGUGUUAGCACAAUUGCUAAAUUAUAUUAGUGCAAUGACUGGAAGUGUCUAUUCAUUGCGCUAACGCUGGUUAGCAUUGGCUCGCAAACCUACCUUGAACUACCUUCCUACUGGACACAGAGACAUACAGAUAGUAUCCAUGAGCUCAUCUGACUUUAGGGAAGUAGAUAAUGGGCUUCAUUGCCAAAAUCCCGAAGUAUCCCUUUAAACUGAACCGAGUGAUAGUGUUUUUCAGAGAAGUUAAAAGACGUCAAUGGGACAGUGGCCAGGGUUGAGGAAUUCUCUAGGGAGUUCUGGAGGAGAGUAAUUUAACUCAUGGACCCACAACCCAUACUGUUCAUGUCUCCUGUGGUGAACUGAUUUGUGGUGGGUGGUACACCUACAGAGGAGUUUCAGGAAGCUUGUGACCUAAUUCUAAUGCAUAUACAGAUAGAUUGUUUGAAACCAGAAGACUAAAAUAAUGAUGAAUGAUGGCUAGUGUAAAUAGGAACAUGAUUCAGUGGUGUACAACGUAUGUCAAGAGGCGACAUGCUGUGGUGCUUGAGUAAUCAUGUAUGCAGAAACUGGGGAGUAUGACAGUUACUAAUUGAGAGUGAAUUGUAAAUAGGAAAUCAAUUUUGCUUGUACAACUUCUGACCAGUAUUCCAGCUUGUCUAACUGCAUCAUGUAAUACUGUAGCAUUAAAGUAUGUGAAGAGUUUUCCCUACCUUGAACUAUGGUAAAAACAGUUCUUUCUGUCUCCUAAUAGCCUCCAAUAACCUGCUCUUCAUCCUGCCGUGUGCUGGGAUCAUGUUAGCAACCCUCGCCUUCAUCACUGUUAUAGCCAGUCGCCCUAAGAAGGGAAACAAUAACAAACCACAGAUGUCUGGGUACAGUAACGCCACUUACUCCAGCAUUAAAAUGGAACUGCAGCCCCAUCAGGACAUCCCUGAUAUCAGUAGUGAUCUGUAUGUGUCCAGGGCAGAGAAAGGAGAGGUCCAAACCCUUCUGUUGCAGCACGGUACCAGAGCUGACGCCUACUCGUACCGCAACCAGUCUUCAUUUACACGCUUUUGAUCUGGGCUUUGUGCUGGUCUGAUUCAAGUCCAAUGCUAAUAGUUUGCUAAAAAUGUAUGGUUUGAGAUUAAUAUACAUGUAAAGUAACCUUGAACUAUAAAUUAUUUCACUGAUGUACAAGUAUACUGAACAAAAAUAUAAAUGCAACAUGCAACAAUUUCAAUAAUA